AUACGGAAGGUGCAAGCGUUAAUCGGAAUCACUGGGCGUAAAGCGCUCGUAGGUGGCUUUGUAAGUCAGGUGUGAAAGCCCACGGCUCAACCGUGGAAUUGCACUUGAUACUACAUUGCUUGAGUUCGGGAGAGGGUAGUGGAAUUCCUAGUGUAGCGGUGAAAUGCGUAGAUAUUAGGAGGAACACCAGUGGCGAAGGCGACUACCUGGACCGAUACUGACACUGAGGAGCGAAAGCGUGGGGAGC
rnacentral:rRNA from 1 species